CAAAACACUUUGAAAGGAAAAGUAGAUUUGCCUAUUUUUUAAAGAGAGCUUUCGGCUGGUGUGAGAAGGUAGAAAUAGUGAAUCGAAAAUCAUCCUUGAGUGGCAGGGACGACCCAUUUAGUCCCUGAUGGCAGCCAGCCAUUAUGAUGGACGUGUAUCGAAAGGGAAUGUGACUCAUUCUUUCUUUCCGUACAUUGAGGUUUAGUCGAUUUUGAUUAGACAAUUAAUAGGUGGUACCGCGGAGACGCCCUAUGU
rnacentral:ncRNA from 1 species